ACGUCUACUAUAUUAAGGCACGCCUGCCCAGUGAACAAUUAAACGGCCGCGGUAUCCUAACCGUGCAAAGGUAGCGUAAUCAUUUGUCUAUUAAUUGUAGACCUGUAUGAAAGGCAAAAUGAGGGCCUAACUGUCUCUUAUAACCAAUCAAUUAAACUGAUCUCCCAGUACAAAAGCUGGGAUACUUACAUAAGACCAGAAGACCCUGUGAAGCUUAAACUAAACUAUUAAACCACAUAAUAACUCCUUUUGGUUGGGGCGACCUUGGAAAAAAAAAGAACUUCCAAACAACAGUGAUUUUAACCCACCCACUACCUUAGGCCAACAAGCCAAAUAACGACCCAGCAUUGCUGAUCAAUGAAACAAGUUACUCCAGGGAUAACAGCGCUAUCUUCUUCAAGAGCCCAUAUCAAAAAGAAGGUUUACGACCUCGAUGUUGGAUCAGGACAUCCUAAUGGUGCAGCAGCUAUUAAGGGUUCGUUUGUUCAACGAUUAACAGUCCCACGUGAUCUGUUUUYCAAACCGG
rnacentral:rRNA from 1 species